GCCCCCGUAGCUCAGGGGAUAGAGCAUCGGCCUCCGGAGCCGUGUGCGCAGGUUCGAAUCCUGCCGGGGGCA
rnacentral:tRNA from 4 species